AAUGAUGAGUUUGAUUCUGGCUCUUUUUGGUUAGCUUUAUAUAUAAUAUUAAAUAUAAAUUUUUGUGUGAUUUUGAUUUUCUAAAUGAUUAUUUUUAUUUUUAAUUUUUAGUUUUUAAUUUUGAGGGGUUUAUAUUGUUAUAAAUUCAGUUAUUAUUUUUUUGAAUAGUAAAAUUUUGUGCCAGCAUACGCGGUUAUACAAUUUAUUCUGGUUAAUUUUUGUUGGUUAGUAUUUUAUUUGUUAUUUGAGAAUUACUUUUUUCUUAUAAGGUGAAAUUUUUAAGUUUUUGUAAUUUUUAGGUUUUUUAUUAUAUGAAAUUCAGUUAUUAGACUAGGAUUAGAUACCCUAUUAUUUUGAAUGUAAAUUUGGCCUUAUUAUUAUUAGUUAUGGUCUUUAAAAUAAAAGAAUUUGGCGGUAAUUUAGUCUUUUCAGAGGAACCUGUUUUUUAAUCGAUGAUCCACGUUGGAUUUUACUUUAAUUUUUGUUUGUAUAUCUCUGUCAUUGAAUGUUUUUUUAGGAUAUUUUCGUGGUUUUAUUAAUUUAUUUUAUGUCAGGUCAAGGUGCAGUUAUAUUAAAGGUUUUAUGGGUUACAUUUAAUGUUAUUUAUUGGAUCUGUAAUUCUUGUAAUUUUAGUGCAGAUAAAAAGGAUUUGAAGGUAAUUUUUAUUAUUUUUUAAUUAUGAUUUUAGCUCUAUGUUAUGUACACAUCGCCCGUCACUUUCAUUAUUAAGGUGAAAUAAGUCGUAACAAAGUAAUUUUACUGGAAAGUGAGGUUGGUAUUAU
rnacentral:ncRNA from 1 species